rnacentral:rRNA from 1 species
UCGUGAAGUGAUUUGUUUGGUUGAUUCCGUUAACGAACGAGAUCUCAUCCACUUACUAGGGCUGGAUUCGCUAUGGGACUCUGUCCUUAGAAUCCUGAACCUUCUUAGUGGCACUUGUCGUGAUUUGUAGCGCAUCAGGGAGCGAGCCAAUAGCA